CUUGGUGAAAAGGAGCGCCACCUGGAGCACGAGUGCCCGGAGAGAAGCCUGAGCUGCCGGCAUUGCCGGGCACCCUGCUGCGGAGCAGACGUGAAGGCGCACCACGAGGUCUGCCCCAAGUUCCCCUUAACUUGUGACGGCUGCGGCAAGAAGAAGAUCCCCCGGGAGAAGUUUCAGGACCACGUCAAGACUUGUGGCAAGUGUCGAGUCCCUUGCAGAUUCCACGCCAUCGGCUGCCUCGAGACGGUGAGUCGGGGGGUCUGAGGUUGGGGGCCACCCCUCAUCCUGGGUGUGGUCUUCACUGCCUC
rnacentral:lncRNA from 1 species